GCGGCCGCAGGUGGAGCACAUGGGAGCGAGCCACGCGGCUGGCCGGGCCUGCUCCUGCUCUCCAGGUUGAGUGCACCAGGUUCGGGGAAAGGAACCAUUAAUGUCAUCUUCGACUUAUAGGAUGAUGGAGGGGGGUGCCCAUCUACCCCGAAGACGCGCCGAGGUCGCCCCAUCCCCUGGCACCCCACGGGUUUGGCCCCUCCAGGCCCCGCUCGGGUGACCUUGGGCGAACCGCCCUCACCUCCGCGAGCUGUGCCCAGCUCCUCCCCGCCAACCCUGGGGACACUGCCGGGAGAAUUGUUUUGGGCGGAGUUGAACCAACCCCUGACUGAUACUCCGGAGGUCUGAGAUUUUAUUCUGGCCCUCGUGCUGCCCGUUAUCAACUCAGCAGCAGUCACUAACGCAGUGGGCCUCAGUUUCCCUAAUGUAAAACGAAGGAGUGGUGUAUGACCACAGUGGUUUCAAACUUUACUGCACAUUCAGUUCGAUAAAUAUUUACUGACCUCGUACUGUGGGGGCCUUUGGGUUCUAGGAAACCGGGGUUUGGCAAUAAACCAGGCUAACAAAGUCCCUAUCCUCGUGGAAUUUACAUUCUGAGGUGGAGAAAGAGACAAUUAAAUAAUGUGAUAAACAAGUUCUUGUCUAGUAUCCAUGAAAACGGUACUGACUACAGUAAUAUGUUAGUCUAGAUCAGCUACUUUGGUUUGGAUGAUGAGGGAAAAUUGAGCACAGAUUCCAAAGCAUGUCUAACAAGACUCCUUGGGCGUUUAGCCACCAGGUGGUCCCACACACUUCACUUGGAGAAGUCCUUGCCUCUAAUUUAGUCUGUGAUCCCACCUGCUCAAGACAGAACAGCCUGGAAAUGUUGGCCAUCUCCAAGACAAUCAGCACCCACAGCCUGGUGGAUAGAGGAGAAGGCUGGCUGAAAACCCUGCUGGAACUUCCCCUCAGGACAAGGGUGGCUGUAGGGCCGUUGGAACCAGGGCUACCUGGGGGAGGUGCUGGUGGGGAUAGCCAGGCUGUCUGACGUCUAAUCCCAUCUCUUCCGUGGCUUGAACUGUGCACCAAGGCCAGCUCUGCACAUGCCCUUGGGCCCCAUUUGCUGGUGGGAAAAUCGGGGUAAAUAAUGCUUGACUUGCUUCUACUCUCUGAGCUUUGGUGAGGAGUCAAGUAAGACAAUGUAAGCCAAAGAGCUGUGCAAAUUAUAGAGACUGAGGUCAAUGCUUCAAAAGAGGGACUAAAGAAAGUAAUGAUUAAAAGGAUCUCAGUGAAUUUAAGCAGGGUUUUUCAUAAUUGUGUUAUAUACGCCUUUAAUCAGAAGGUAAAUUGUUGCACAUUGCUACUGGAAUGCAUUAUUUUUUACUGUAUUUAUUAAUAAGUCAUUCCUGAAGAGGGUUAUUCACACUAGGCCACCGGUGGCAAACACAAGGCCUGCGGGCCGAAUCCGGCCCUCUACCUUGUUUUAUCUUUCCUGGCACCUUGUUUCUCCCUUGUUUCCGCCUGAGCUCCUUGCCCCUAGUUAAAGAGUAGUUACAUGCAUACAAUCCUAAAAUUGCAUUCGGCCCUUCCCUUUGAAGGCAACCGCGAGGCUGAUGUGGCCCCCAGUGAAAAUGAGUUUGACGCCCCUGCACUAGGCCCUCUGUCAACUUUGUUAAUGGGGACAUGGUAGUCAUUGUUGGUCAUUCUUUUCAAUAUUUCUGUCAUUGGAGGUAGAGGGGAAAGGUGCCCCCGUACAACUCAGAAGGGGACUCUGAGUACGACUCUGUGUGGACAAGUAACCCAGGUCACACACUCAGCACCCAGUCUGAACGAAACAACCAUGGCCAGGACCUGCUGUGAGGAGGCUGGAGGGGCACUGGGAUCUGCACACCCUGGGCCUGCCCUGCCCCAGAAAGCAUGUCUACAUGGACACACAGGUUCUCGACACCUGUGUGUCCUUUUACAGAUGGGCAAACUGAGGCCAGAGAAGAUGAGAACGCCGUGAAAUUACAUCUAACACUGAGGCGGUUAGAUUUAGAAAAAAAAAAGAAUCUGAAUGAUUACUCAGUCUCCUCGUUUUGCUGAUGAGGACACUGACGUCGAGAGAAGGAAAGUUACUUAUCCCGGGUCACACAGGUAAUCUGUGGCAGAGCCAGGUCUCACACCUGAGUACACUGAUCCUAAAUCCAGUAGCUUGUUCUGCAUAAUGGGUUUGGGAUUUAAAUUCAGCGUGUUUUGUUUGUUUGUUUCUUUCUUUCUUUUUUUAUUCCUAACCCACGCAGCAUUCUACACCCAUGUGUUUAGUUUUAACACUAAUAAUGAUCCAGUAGUUAAGAGUAGCUUUUAUUGAGUAGUUAAUAUAUGCCAGGUUCUAUGAGAAAUACUUGACAUUCAUUAUCUCCUUCAGCCUCACAAGUAACCCAGUGAGAUAGGUGUUAAUUCUGUCCACAAGUAUUUGUUGAGUUCCUACUAUGUGCCAGGCACUAGGCUAGGCCCUGCAGGUGUAAUUAUCUUCAGUUACAGACAAUUACAAAGUUCAGAAAGGAAAGGAAGAUGGGUAGCUGGGUCCUAGGCAGCAGCUAAAUAUCAGAGUGGACUUUUUCAGGGCAGUCUAACUCCGUAGGCUGGGUUCUUACCCACCGCCGCACACUGUAAGGCCUGUCUUCCCUCCAUUGCCACAUCCACAAGGAUUUAUGAAGAACCUAUCAAAUAUAUAGACCUGGAGAAGAUACUGAAAAUCUUGAAUCCUGUCUCUCCAAAAGGUAGACUCAAAUUGAGGGGACCAAGUAAUUAAGCCAAAAAAGAAAGGAAAAAAGGCAAGACAACGUAUGAUUUAGGCAAAAGGGACAAGAAUCAGGCUAACGAGUGCUGUCCCCAUGACUCUGACAUGCCAUAUGCUGAAAACACAGACACACAGAGAAAAUCAGACUUGCAAAAUACAAAUGACAAAGGGGGUCCAGGUACUUAUUUGUAAUCAAUUGUGUGUUUGUUUGCUCCUGGUGCUGACAAUGUCCUAAUGAGAGACAGAGGAAGCUGAAUGAGGGGCCAGAGAGCCGGGAGACCUGGUUUAUAACCUGGGUUUCCUCUCCAGCUUUGCCGAAAGACUUUGGGCAGCCUCCUUCCUAGGAUUCCCUCUCCCCGUACACAAAAUGAAAAGCAGGACGCCUGCCCAUCUGGCUUGUGAGGGCGAAGAAAGAUACGGCUUCCGUGAAACUUUAUUCUGUCUUUGGGGGGGAACAGGUAAAAGUGGGGAGGGGAUCGUUCUUUUAGUUAUCAGUGCGUAUUAGGAAGGAAAAUUUCACACCCUCGGAUGUGCAGUUUUAUCUCUCUUUGAGUUUGAUUUUCCAAAAGACCUUGUAUUUCUGGGAGAACUUGGGCUGUAUCACUUAUCUGCUUCUGAUAUCGGGGCUCCUGGGCAGGAGGCCUCUUUACACUGACACGGAGGGGUGGGUGGGGUCAGCAAAAGCAGGGGCCUUGGCCAAAACAAAAGUGCCAGCUGGGGAGUGUUUUUCCAAACGCUGAAGAUUCUUGGGCCUUCUGAUACAUGCCAAGAAACUCCAGUUCCUGGGAGGAGGCUCAGCCUAGGUCACCUCUCAGGAAGUAGACGUAGACAGCAAGAGUUAAUCUGAAAGGCGAGGAGUGACGGAGGGUGCUGACUGAUCCCAUACUACCCAGUAAAGCCCCAGGGCAAACCUUCCCUGUCAGUAUGAUUAUCCCUGUUUUAAAGAUAAGGUGGUAAGCUGCUCAAGGGAGCUGGUAAAGGAACAGAAUGGGUUUGCAGUGAAGAAGGUCUGAGAGAGAAUUAACUUUUAACCCAUUCAUUGCUCUGUGGUAGAGAGAGGUACCACCCUAGCCUUUUUCUCCUCCAUUCUGCCUAUGCAGCCUCUCUUCCCGGCCUCGCUACCCUCCCUGGCAUUCCUGCACUUCUCAGGUGGUCUCAUGAUAGGCUUCCCCACUAACUGUUCUCCCUGCCAUAUAUAUAUUUAUAUGCAUAUGUUCACAUACAUAUACAGUAGUUCCCUCUUAGAUGUGACCCCCAGUGGCCACCUGAAAAUGCAGACAGUACUAAACCCUGCAUGUGCUGUUUUUCCUAUACGUACAUUCCUAUAAUAGAGUUUAAUUUAUGAAAUAGGCAUAGUAGGAGAUUAACAACAGUAAUAA